AGCUCCAAAGCGUAUAUUAAAUUGUUGCGGUUAAACGCUCGUAGUUGGGUAUUUGCUGGGUGGGUGGCGUCCAUCCAAGUGAUGUCUGCACGCCGCCUCCCGGCAUUUUUCUGGGGAGGGUAUCUGUGCUUCACUGUACAGUAUCUGAUCCAGAGCGAUUACUUUGAGAAAACGAGAGUGUUCCAGGCGGGCGUCAGCCAGAAUACAUUAGCAUGGAAUAAUAGCAUAGGACUUCAUUCCUGAGCUUUUUGGUUUAACGGAAUGGAGGAACGCAAAUAGGGAUAGUUGGGGGCAUUCGUAUUUAACUGUCAGAGGUGAAAUUCUUGGAUUUUUUAAAGACGAACUAGUGCGAAAGCAUCUGCCCAGGAUGUUUUUA
rnacentral:rRNA from 1 species